AAUGAACGUUGGCGGCGUGGAUUAGGCAUGCAAGUCGAGCGAGAAGUUCCUUCGGGAACGGACAGCGGCGAAAGGGAGAGGAAUACGUAGAAAUCUACCCCUGAGACCGGGAUAGCGUCGGGAAACUGGCAGUAAUACCGGAUAACGUCUUAGGACCAAAGGUGUGAUUCCACUUGGGGAUGAGUCUACGCCCUAUUAGCUAGUUGGUGGGGUAAUGGCCUACCAAGGCAAUGAUGGGUAGCGGUGUGGGAGCAUGACCCGCCUCACUGGGACUGAGAACUGCCCAGACACCUACGGGUGGCUGCAGUCGAGAAUCUUUGUCAAUGGACGAAAGUCUGAACAAGCGACGCCGCGUGCGGGAUGAAGGCCUUC
rnacentral:rRNA from 1 species